GAUGAAGAACCGUAGCGAAAUGCGAUAACUAAUGUGAAUUGCAGAAUUCCGUGAAUCAUCGAGUCUUUGAACGCACAUUGCGCCCCCUGGUAUUCCGGGGGGCAUGCCUGUCCGAGCGUCAUUGCAACCCUCAAGCACGGCUUGUCUAAUGGGCGGUUCGUCUGCGGCCAUCCGCCGGAGACGCCCCCGAAAUGCAGUGGGGAUGUUCGCUAAAUCGCAGCGUCAGGAAUGGAAAUAAACAAUGCUGACGGCUCGAUGUCAAACGUCCACCUAAGGCGUGCCGCCCCCCGGGGUGUGCCGCCCAACCUCUCUCGGUUGACCUCGGAUCAGGUAGGGAUACCCGCUGAACUUAAGCAUAUCAAUAAGCGGAGGA
rnacentral:misc_RNA from 1 species